UACGGGGGGGGCAAGCGUUGUUCGGAAUUACUGGGCGUAAAGGGCUCGUAGGCGGCCAACUAAGUCAGACGUGAAAUCCCCGAGCUCAACUCGGGAACUGCGUCCGAUACUGGCGGGCUUGAAUCCGGGAGAGGGAUGCGGAAUUCCAGGUGUAGCGGUGAAAUGCGUAGAUAUCUGGAGGAACACCGGUGGCGAAGGCGGCAUCCUGGACCAACACUGACGCUGAGGAGCGAAAGCCAGGGGAGCAAACGGG
rnacentral:rRNA from 1 species